AGGACACUCUAUACGGAGUUACAAAAGAAAGUUAUAAAUGAAGCGGUCUGGAAAGGCCCGCCAAAGACGGUAACAGCCCGGUAGUUGAAAUAGCUUUCCCUCCAGAGUGGAUCCUGAGUACGGCGGAACACGUGAAAUUCCGUCGGAAUCCGGGAGGACCAUCUCCCAAGGCUAAAUACUCCCUAGUGACCGAUAGUGAACCAGUACCGUGAGGGAAAGGUGAAAAGCACCCCGGAAGGGGAGUGAAACAGUUCCUGAAACCGUGUGCCUACAAGUAGUUAGAGCCCGUUAAUGGGUGAUAGCGUGCCUUUUGUAGAAUGAACCGGCGAG
rnacentral:rRNA from 1 species